rnacentral:rRNA from 1 species
UACGAGUGCCUCAAGCGUUAUCCGGAAUCAUUGGGCGUAAAGGGUUUGUAGGUGGUCAUGUUAGUCUUUCGUUAAAUUUCCCGGCUUAACCGGGAACCUGCGGAGGAAACGGCAUGACUUGAGGAUGCAAGGGGUCUGUGGAACUCAUAGUGUAGCGGUGAAAUGCGUUGAUAUUAUGGGGAACACCAAAAGCGAAGGCAACAGACUGGGGCACUCCUGACACUGAAAAACGAAAGCGUGGGUAGCGAAUGGG